ensembl:lncRNA
CCCGGAUACAGGUGGCCAAAAUGAGCUUUCUCCGCAGGGUGGCUGGGCGAUCCCUUAGAGAGAGGGUGAAAAGCUUGGUCACCCGGGAGGAGCUCAGAGUAGAGCCGCUGUUCCUCCACAUUGAGAAGGGUCAACUGAGGUGGCUUGGGCAUCUGUUCCGGAUGCCUCCUGAACGCCUUCCCGUCCCACCGGGAGGAGAUCCUGGGGAAGACCUAGGACACUGUUGAAAUCUAACGCUUCCCCGAGUUGGUUUGUUGGAAAGGAGAAUAACACACCAGGAGUCAGGUCAAUUACCGUACCGUAUAUUCCGUUUAUUACAAAAGCUUUUGGAGACAGAGUGUCGCCGCACAAUGUCUAAAGAUCAAUCACAGUCACAUCAGCAAUAUUUAUACUUCAAACAAGCCUAAAAGUGGGGGUUAAAUAUGCCAAGCAUGUGUGCCAUUGGUCCAGUUUAUGUUUUAUACCUUAUAUGUGUAAAUGCAGUACAAGCAUCAUCUUUGCACUUUGUGGUUUCGGUCUUGUCUAUUCUUAAUUCAGCCCUGCCCAGAAUAUGUGUGUGCGUUAUUAAUCUGCCCCCCUGUUUCCUGUAAUCUGACACACAAGCUCAGUCUCCUCUUGUUCCCCAGCAACAGCCUAAAUCAGUCUCAGCUUAUGCUACAGACAUUCAACAUUUUGCUUCAAUGCUCACAACAGUUUGACAGCUUAUUCACUCAAUGUAUCCACAAUUCCCCCUUUUGAUCUCUCCCCAGAGAGAUCACCCCUAUUCGCCAAGCUCCAGUUCUCCCAGGUCGAGCUGCUCCAGUAGAGGCAUCAGCAUCCCUGGUGGCGGUCCUGGAGCCUUCUCAAUGGCUAUAGAGAUCACCCACAUGUCCCGCAGUAUCCUGGGGUCCGCUCCUGGCACCGGUCCAGCUGGUUUUGGUCCUCCUUCCGUCCACACUGGGGCAAGCUCCUCCUUCCCGGUUUGGAUGAGCUCCCUGGCUCCUGCGCUGGUGUAUACUGGCUACAAUGGUACCACGUCUCUCCUUUGUCCCUCAGGCGGACCGCAUGGCUCGUUCUCUCCACCACCUGAUGAGGACCCGUCCACCUUGGCUCCGACCACUUUCGCUUGAUGACCUUCAGCAGCACCCACUCCGCCUGGGGCAGGUUCUGGUCCAACGGGUGCAGGUUCCUCCUUUCUCCGACUCUGUUGGUGAAUUCUGAAACGAGAGCUCGCAAUUCAUCAAAAUACACUCUGUGAUCUUUGGGCCAUUUCUCCCCUUCCGGGACCACAGGCCCCGCGGCUGGUCCUGGAAACUGUCUCCCUGUCAGCAGCUCAUAUGGGGUGAACCCAGUGGUCUGAUUUAACGAGCAUCGAAUAGUCAUGAGUGCCAGUGGCAGUGCAUCUACCCAGUUCAAUUUGGUCUGUGCACAUAUCUUAGCCAACUUGUUCUUUAUAUUUUGGUUAAUCCUUUCUACCCUUCCCUGGGACUGUGGGUGGUAUACAGUGCCAAAAGCAUGUUUUAGGCCCAAUAAGCUCUCUACCUUCUGUAAGUCACUGUUCUUAUAGUGAGUCCCGUUGUCUGACCUAAUUUUCUCUGGGCAGCCGUGUCUGGGAAUGUACUGUUUUAUUAAACACUUUAUCACUGUCUGACUGUCCUCCCUUCUUGCCGGCCAGGCUUCUGGCCACCCUGUGAACACAUCCACACACACUAACAUGUAACGGCACACCUGUACUGUUUCCACCAUGUCCGUGUAGUCUAUCACUAUCUCUUGUCCAGGUCUCUUCGUCAAGGGGAACGCCCCCAUCUCAGGUUUAAUUGUUGGUUUUGGAUUGUGGUGAGUGCAAAUGGUGCAUGUCCUAGUGUAGUUGCGUACCAUGCCUACCAUAAACGGAUGCCACCAGUGGCACAAGUUUCUUAACAUUUGAGCCGGCUCUACAUGGCCCAGCCCAUGGGCUUCUGCAAAUGUAUCUCCUCGCAUAGCUAGUGGAAGUAUUACUCUACCAUCUGGCCCUCUCCAGAGCCCUCGCAUUUCUGUUGCUCCUCUCUGUCGCCAAAUAGUUUUCUCUUGUGGGGAAGCCCCCUUUUGAUGUCUCACUAGCUUGUCUCUCUCAGGGCCUUCUCCCCACCCCACUUCCUCUUCUGGUCUUACCACCAUCACUUGUGAAGUGUACCCUGCUGCCUGUUUUGCUGCUGUGUCUGCCGCUUGGUUUCCCUGGGCCACUGCACAAUUUGAGUUAUUGUGUCCUUUGCAUUUUAUGAUUGCUACCUUUUCGGGCAGGUCCAGGGCCUCGGCUAGCUCUCUCAUCUCCGCCUCGUGUUAAACCGGUUUGUCCCCUGCUGUUCUAAACCCGGCUUUUAACCACUGUCCUAGCUCCACAUGCGCCGCACCUACCGCGUAUGCCGAAUCUGUGUAGAUGUUAACUCUCUUCCCCUUGGCCUGCCUGAGUGCCUCUAUCACUGCUCUCACUUCUGCUCUCUGGGCUGACUGCAGCCCCUGGAGCCUCUCUGCUUUCACUGUGACUAGAACCUCUGGUGUUAAUUUCACUACCGCAAAGGCCGCCCUCAGCCCAUCUUGUUCGUGUCUGAAACAGCACCCAUCUGUAAAGAGGUCCUCUGCCCCUUGGAGGGGUUCUUCCUCCAGAUCAGUUUGUGUCUUUCUCUCCCUCACUACCUCUUGCGCGCACUCAUGUGGCAGCCCCGUCCCCAUCCGGUCUGCCAUAUUUAUCCCCUCGUGUGUGAAAGUCAAAUUUGGAGCCCCAAGAAUUUUACUUAGGUGUUGUUGCCUGAGGGAAGUUAUGGUGAACAUCUGUGAUUUUACAUACGCCACUACACUGUGUGUUGUGAGUAUCUGAAGUUGAUGUCCCAUCACUAUGUGUGCGCAUUUUUAAAUGAGUUUCGCCACCCCCGUGGCAUGCUGUGUACAGUUGGGGUGCCUUUUUUCGAUUUUGUCAAAUCCUUCGCUUAGGUACAUGAGGAUAAUAAUAAUAAUAAUAAACCUUUAUUUAUAUAGCACCUUUCAUACAGGGAAUGCAGCUCAAAGUGCUUUACAUCAAUAGAGGUCAAUAAGCAGCAAUAAAGAGCAAUAAAAGCAAAACAGAGAGAAUAAAAAAAAUAUAUAAUAAUAAAAAGACAUGAAUAAAAACAUAGAGCACAUUUGCAGGCACAGAAAUUUAAAAAUGUUUUGCGAAGAGCAAAGAUUACCGGUUUAGUUGAAGGCUAGAGUGAAAAGAUAUGUUUUUAAUAGCUUUUUAAAUAUGUUUAUAGAUGAUGCCUCCUUUAUAUUUUCUGGUAUUUUGUUCCACAGCUUUGGGGCAUAGUUAAAAAAGGCAGCAUCACCAAUUUAUUUAUGAGUGGGAUUUGGAACCUUUAGCAAGUUAGCAGUCGAGGAUCUGAGGGCCCUUUGUGGAACAUAGGUUUUUAGAGAGUCUGUAAAGUAGGCUGGCCCCAAGCCGUUUAGAGUUUUAUAAACAAGCAAUAGGACCUUGAAAUCAAUCCUGUGGGAGACUGGGAGCCAAUGCAGUGAUUUCAAAACUGGAGUAAUGUGUUCUCGCCUCUUUGUUUUUGUUAAGAGUCUUGCUGCUGAGUUCUGGAUGAGUUGAAUCUUCCCUAAAGACUUUUUGGGGAGACCUGUAAGGAUGGCAUUGCAGUAGUCCAAUCUGGUUGUAAUAAAUGCGUGAAUUAGUUUCUCUGCAUCUUUUUGGGUUAUGAAUGGUCUUACUUUAGCAAUAUUUCUGAGGUGAAAGUAAGAGGUUUUGGUCACCUUGUUCAGAUGGGAGGUAAAAUGUAGGUCAGAAUCUAUGAUAAUACCUAGGCUCUUUACUUCAGGUUUGAUCAGUGAGGUCAGAUUACCAAGGCUUGUGCUGACUUUCUCCCUUUUGACUUUGGGCCCUACUAAGAGGAUUUCUGUUUUAUCUUCAUUUAGUUUUAGGAAAUUUGCGCUCAUCCAAUUAUUUAUUGCAAUUAGACACCUGGAUAGUGAGGCUAUUGUAUUUAGGUCAUCCGGCUCAACAGAAAUCUAUAGCUGUGUGUCAUCAGCAUAGCUGUGGAAAUUGACAUUGUAUUCUCUAAUGACAUCGCCUAGUGGUAGCAUGUAUAGUGAAAACAGUAGUGGAGCAAGACAGCUUCCUUGUGCCACACCACAUAUUGUGUCAUGUUCCUCAGAUAUAUGUUCACCAAGACUGACGGAGAACUUUCUGCCUGUGAUGUACGUUUGAAACCAUCUGAGGACACUUUCUGAGAGACCAACCCAGUUUUCAAGACGAUCCAUAAGGAUGUCGUGAUCAAUGGUGUCAAAUGCUGCACUCAAGUCUAGGAGGACUAGGACUGAGACCUUGUUUGCAUCUGCGCUAAGUCUUAGGUUGCUUACUAAUUUUGUCAAAGCUGUUUCUGUGCUGUGAUUCUCUCUAAAACCAGACUGAAACCUUUCCAGUAUGUUAUUAUCAUUUAGGAAUGUAUUUACUUGGUGAAAAACGACUUUCUCAAGCACCUUACUUAGAAAUGGUAUGUUUGAGAUUGGUCUAUAGUUGUUUAAUAUCUCAGAAUCUAAUUGUGGUUUCUUUAGAAGUGGUUGUACAACAGCAGUUUUGUAUGCAUUUGGAAAGACACCAGAUUCAAGGGAUUUGUUUAUAAUUGUUAGAACGGGGCAUGAGAUACUGUCAAAGACGUUUUUCAGAAAAGUGGUUGAGAUGGGGUCUAGAACGCACGUGGUUGAUUUGCUCUCCCUAACAAUCUUUUGUAGGUCAGAAGUGGCUAUGAUGUUGAAAGUCUUCAUGUGCUUUUUGCAAGUUUUGUUUGGGAAGUUUAUAUUUGUUUUAGUAAUACUGGCUCUAAUGACUUUGAUCUUGUCAUAGAAAAAAGUAGCAAACUCUUUGCAUUUAAUUACAGAGGUUUCGUUUGUCCUUUUACGGUUUGGGCCAGGGUUUAGCAAUUUGUCUAUGGUUGAAAAUAAUAUUCUGGGGUUAUUUCCACUUUCUGUAAUGAUCCUGGAGAAAUGUUUUUUCCUUGCGGCAUGUACAGUUUUAUUGUAGGUGUUUAGAGCUUUUUUAUAGAUAAUAUGAUGGAUCUCAAGUCCUGAUUUUCUCCAUUUCCUUUCAGCUGCCCGAUUUGCUCUUUUUAAUUUACGGACAGAGCUGUCCAUCCAUGGUGAUGUUUUUUCUCCUAAUCUCUUUCUAACUCGAAUUGGGGCUACUUUGUCUAGAGCAUUUGUCAGAUUGUUGUUUAGCUCAUUUACCAUGUCAUGUAUUGAGUUAUUUGUAUUCAAUUCAAAUCCACCUAAAAGUUGUGUAAAGUUUUGCUCUGCUGCUUCAUUGAGGUAUCGUUUUCGAACCACAUUUGUUUCCUUGCUUCUGAUUUUGGUUAGAUAUGCGUCAUAAAAUAUACAGUAGUGAUCUGAGAGGGAAACAUUUGUCACAGAGAGAUUCUCUAUAAGUAAUCCUUUUGUUAUCACUAAAUCUAAUGUAUUUCCAUGUAUAUGCGUUUGUUGUGAUACUUGUUGAGACAUGUCAAAGAUAUGUAGAAUGUUCAUAAAUUCUAUUGCAAACCUGUCCAAUUUGUUAUUUAUAUGUAUGUUAAGGUCUCCAUUUAUAAUAAUUUUAUCAUGUCUGGUGACAGCCAAUGAUAUUAGUUCUGAAAAUUCUGAGAGGAAAGCUGAAAGUUGCUUUGGUGGUCGGUAAAUAUUUAGCAUCAACACAGGUAUUUCUGCUUUGAGAAUGAAGGCUACAUACUCAAAACUUGAAAAUUCACCCAGGUCAACCUUUGUACAGCAGAAAUCUUCAUGAUGAAUAACAGCUGUUCCACCCCCCCUUCUGCCUUGUCUUACCGAGUGAAUAAAAUGAUAGUUUUUUGGACUUGCCUCAAUUAAGGUUGCAUUGCUAUUUUCAUCUAGCCAGGUUUCUGUUAGAAACAUGAAGUCAAGUUUAUGGUUAACAAUAAGAUCAUUAAUUAAAAAA